rnacentral:ncRNA from 1 species
AGGUUAUUGACAAAGUGCCCGUAGCGGUGAAAACAGGUAGAUCAUAAAGACGCCGUACUUCUUUUGUUAAAACAAGCUUCCCUGAUGGCUCGUGCAGCGCCAUCCUUGGCGCGGACGCUUU